rnacentral:rRNA from 1 species
UACGUAGGGGGGCAAGCGUUUGUCCGGAAUCAUUGGGCGUAAAGAGCGUGUAGGCGGCUUGGUAAGUCCGCUGUGAAAGUCCAGGGCUCAACCCUGGAAUGCCGGUGGAAACUGUCAAGCUUGAGUCCGGAAGAGGCGAGUGGAAUCCUGGUGUAGCGGUGAAAUGCGCAGAUAUCAGGAGGAACACCGUGGCGAAGGCGGCUC